UACGAAGGGGGCUAGCGUUGUUCGGAAUUACUGGGCGUAAAGCGCACGUAGGCGGAUUGUUAAGUCAGAGGUGAAAUCCCGGAGCUCAACUUCGGAACUGCCUUUGAUACUGGCAAUCUAGAGUCCGGAAGAGGUUAGUGGAAUUCCCAGUGUAGAGGUGAAAUUCGUAGAUAUUGGGAAGAACACCAGUGGCGAAGGCGGCUAACUGGUCCGGUACUGACGCUGAGGCACGAAAGCGUGGGGAGCAAACAGG
rnacentral:rRNA from 1 species